rnacentral:rRNA from 1 species
CCUACGGGAGGCAGCAGUGAGGAAUAUUGGUCAAUGGACGAGAGUCUGAACCAGCCAAGUAGCGUGAAGGAUGACUGCCCUAUGGGUUGUAAACUUCUUUUAUAUGGGAAUAAAAUGUUCCACGUGUGGGAUUUUGUAUGUACCAUAUGACUAAGGAUCGGCUAACUCCGUGCCAGCAGCCGCGGUAAUAAGGAGGAUCCGAGCGUUAUCCGGAUUUAUUGGGUUUAAAGGGAGCGUAGGUGGAUUGUUAAGUCAGUUGUGAAAGUUUGCGGCUCAACCGUAAAAUUGCAGUUGAAACUGGCAGUCUUGAGUACAGUAGAGGUGGGCGGAAUUCGUGGUGUAGCGGUGAAAUGCUUAGAUAUCACGAAGAACUCCGAUUGCGAAGGCAGUUCACUGGACUGCAACUGACACUGAGGCUCGAAAGUGUGGGUAUCAAACAGGAUUAGAUACCCCAGUAGUC